CCAUUUACAUCGUGUACCGUACUGGUGCUGGACGUGCAUGCGGGAGGUAUCGGCGAAAUUGGCGCCAGCCAUGGCACCUUGAUCGAGUCAACAUGGCGUCAUACGUAUCGUGGCUUGCGAUUCCAAAGUUUUUCUGACCAGUUUCCCUCCUUUUAGAUCCAGUAUUGUUGGCUUUUUUACCUGGUUGCCCCCGUAGAUUGUACUCUUUCUGUCUAACGUCCAUUUUGGCAAUAUUUGGUCCAAGUAGGCAUGUAAUUUUCCACCAAAAAUAAAGUAUGUUUUCAGGAGCUCACUCAAGAGUGCUACCGCUCUGUCGACAUCGCGUCAAUUCAAUGCAGUCCUUAACGGGUUUCUUUUCCGGUCAGUAUAUUUAAGCUCGCGCUUUGCGCUCGUGUUAACUCUUUAGUUAAUUCAUGGACCUAAAUGGUUUAAUGAGCCCUAAAGUUUGAGCUUGUGAUUCACGCUCGCAACAUCUCGCAAUAAUGUCAUUUUAACAGUAAUUGACACUAAAAACGAAAAUUCAUUCGGCCGCCCUUGCCUUUCCAUCCUCAUAACAAUUGAACGGCAACGGUGUUUAUCCCCCCCACCACCACACUUUCCCUUCCUCUGCUUUCCCGGAUUUCAUUUUUCGGAUUAACGAACCUUAGGAUUUCGGAAUAAAGAACCUUAUUUCGUUUUCGGAUUAACAUGAUUAACGAACCUUCGGAACAACGAACCAUAUUUCGUUUUCGGAUUAACGAACCUUCGGAACAACGAACCUUAUUUCGUUUUCGGAUUAACGAACCUUCGGAACAACGAAUCUUAUUUCGUUUUCGAAUUAACGAACAUCAAGGUAUAGGCAAUUUACGUGUUUCGGAAUUACGAACAUUCGGAAUUACGAAGUGUAACCGUACAAGUUAUAUCGAGUGCCCGGGAUCGACUUUCUAUGUUGAGCCGAUGACGUACGUUAUGUGAAUUUUGUAUGGACGUGCAAUUUUUAAGUGAAAGGUCGAUCGGUGGUAAUAUCCUUAGCUUGGAAAACCAUGGCAUUAAUGGGACAUUAUUAUUUCCUUGCAUGACAAGCUGGACUUUGGAUUUUGACUAAUGACGACAUUUGUUUACAUCAUCCAUGAUCUUCAGCUGUGUGUGUACGUGUGGCACCUCGGCGUAUCGUCCGUAUACAAAUUCGCAUCAAGCGAUCAAUCGUCUCAUCUACAGUUCAGUUAUCAGACAUCAUCUAUUGUUUCUAGGUUUACACUUAUCAUAGAAGUAUAUUUGGAAGAAAGUUACGAUAUUACGAAGUGCAGAACACGACACCAAGCACAACAAAUCAAACCUUCAAAUUUCCACCUUUUCUUCGUUGAAAUCCAGAUGAGGUAUUUAUUUACUGGAAUAAGCUUCUCGCAUACUUGCAGUCUUCCUUUGAACCUCUUCGGGUAUCAGUGUCCCGAAAACAAACGCAGGUGUAUCAUCAAACCUUUAUGAACAGUGUCUAAUUCUUUAUUUUAAUGAUUUUAUUUUCGGGCCCUUUUUGAAAGGGCAAAGGAAUUUUUCUAGUUAAACGAUCUAUUUGUUUUUUUUUCUUAUUCAGCAUGUUUACACAAUGAUAAAGCAGAAAUAAAUGCGUUGAAUGAUAUGGAAUAGAAUGAUCAUAAUUGAAUAAAACUCAUUUGAAAUUGUUUGACGUGAAAUUCACUGAUAUGAAAUCAAAUUCAAAUUUUGAUGUGAAUUGUUAAGCUUUACUAAGAACGAUUAGCCUGACUGGAGUACAAAUCGAUUCGCAAUGGAAUUGCUAGCACCGAUGAUUUAAACAAACAGAUAAAUAGUAAUCACAUUUUCGCUUGAACGAAUUUGAAUGUUGUAUUGAAUUGAAAAGAGCUAAAUGACAUGGAAGGUGUUUUGAUUAUAAGAUAUAAAGGAUCUAAAUGAUUUGUUUUGUUUAUUUUAGUCUGAUUCAUUUACUUUUUUAUAUCCAAAUCUCCUAUCGAAUUUAUUUGAUAGGCUUUAAGUUUCAUAUCAUUUAUAAACACAAAUGAAAACAAUUUUUUUUCCAGUGACACAAGAAUUAUCACAAAACACAACACUUCAUUAAGUAUUCGUGGCAGACGAAUAUAUAGGCUUCAGAAUUAUAGACAAUUAGGUAAAAUCGUAUUUUUUUUCAAUUAAACGAGUCAAAUACAUGUGUAGGCCUACUGAUCUUGAUAAUUUGGUUUUCCGUAGACAUAUGACGAUGACUGUUGCAUUUAGAUGGCCAUUUAACAAGGUUGAUGCAUUAUAAUUAUACAAUUAUUAACACUAUACAAUAAAUCGGAUAUUUUUUAAAGUUAA